rnacentral:rRNA from 1 species
UCUUUUUAUUGUGUGCCAGCAGCCGCGGUAAUACGGAAGGUCCGGGCGUUAUCCGGAUUUAUUGGGUUUAAAGGGAGCGUAGGCCGGAGAUUAAGCGUGUUGUGAAAUGUAGACGCUCAACGUCUGCACUGCAGCGCGAACUGGUUUCCUUGAGUACGCACAAAGUGGGCGGAAUUCGUGGUGUAGCGGUGAAAUGCUUAGAUAUCACGAAGAACUCCGAUUGCGAAGGCAGCUCACUGGAGCGCAACUGACGCUGAAGCUCGAAAGUGCGGGUAUCGAACAGG